GAAUGCUGACAUAAGUAACGAUAAAGCGGGUGAAAAGCCCGCUCGCCGGAAGACCAAGGGUUCCUGUCCAACGUUAAUCGGGGCAGGGUGAGUCGACCCCUAAGGCGAGGCCGAAAGGCGUAGUCGAUGGGAAACAGGUUAAUAUUCCUGUACUUGGUGUUACUGCGAAGGGGGGACGGAGAAGGCUAUGUUGGCCGGGCGACGGUUGUCCCGGUU
rnacentral:rRNA from 1 species